rnacentral:rRNA from 1 species
GACGAACGCUGGCGGCGUGCUUAACACAUGCAAGUCGAGCGGUAAGGCUCCUUCGGGAGUACACGAGCGGCGAACGGGUGAGUAACACGUGAGCAAUCUGCCCUCUACUUCGGGAUAACUCUCGGAAACGAGUGCUAAUACCGGAUAUGACUCCUGCCUGCAUGGGUGGGGGUGGAAAGUUCCGGCGGUAGGGGAUGAGCUCGCGGCCUAUCAGCUUGUUGGUGGGGUGAUGGCCUACCAAGGCUUCGACGGGUAGCCGGCCUGAGAGGGUGACCGGCCACACUGGGACUGAGACACGGCCCAGACUCCUACGGGAGGCAGCAGUGGGGAAUAUUGGACAAUGGGCGAAAGCCUGAUCCAGCAACGCCGCGUGAGGGAUGACGGCCUUCGGGUUGUAAACCUCUUUCAGUGCCGACGAAGCGAAAGUGACGGUAGGCGCAGAAGAAGCACCGGCCAACUACGUGCCAGCCGCCGCAGUAAUAC